rnacentral:siRNA from 1 species
UACGCAGACAGUCAGUUCUA